UGAGGGGCCGGUGGGGGCCGUGCCAAGAUGGCGGCCGGGUGGGGGACGGGGACCGGAGUCGAGCGGCACCGGAGCGGCGCGGCUGGGGUCCCGCGCACCUCGCCCUCUCCUUCUCAUCCCUGGAGGAGGCGGGCAGCUCCGGCAUCCUCCGCCUUAACGGGAUGCAGCUGCGCGACCACCCCAGUAGCGACAGCGCGGCAGCAGAUGGAUGCUCAUGGAGAAGGGAAGCUGCCAGGGAUGAGAAGAUCACUGUUGAAGCAGGGAAGACUGCAAACAUGACAUGCUCUUUCAUGCUUGAAGCUGGA